rnacentral:rRNA from 1 species
AUACGGAGGAUCCGAGCGUUAUCCGGAUUUAUUGGGUUUAAAGGGCGCGCAGGCGGCCGUCCAAGUCCGGUGUUAAAUGGUCGGGCUCAACCCGAUCAUGCGCUGGAAACUGGGCGGCUUGAGUCCCGUAGGGGAUGCCGGAAUUCCAGGUGUAGGGGUGAAAUCUGUAGAUAUCUGGAAGAACACCGAUGGCGAAGGCAGGCAUCUGGCCGGAGACUGACGCUGAGGCGCGAAGGCGCGGGGAGCGAACAGGUUUAGAUACCCUGGUAGUCCGCGCAGUAAACGAUGCGCACCAGGUGUCGGGCGGCAGCGCCCGGUACCGGAGCAAACGCGAUGAGUGCGCCGCCUGGGGAGUAUGCCCGCAAGGGUGAAACUCAAAGGAAUUGACGGGG